rnacentral:rRNA from 1 species
UACGGAGGGUGCAAGCGUCAAUCGGAAUUACUGGGCGUAAAGCGCACGCAGGCGGUUGGAUAAGUUAGAUGUGAAAGCCCCGGGCUCAACCUGGGAAUUGCAUUUAAAACUGUCCAGCUAGAGUCUUGUAGAGGGGGGUAGAAUUCCAGGUGUAGCGGUGAAAUGCGUAGAGAUCUGGAGGAAUACCGGUGGCGAAGGCGGCCCCCUGGACAAAGACUGACGCUCAGGUGCGAAAGCGUGGGGAGCAAACAGG